CAUGCUUUACGCAUCGAACUGGGGAAUCGCGAUCUCUUCAGUCCAAGCCCAUGUCCUUCCUUCUGCGUCAUGGUCGAAGGUCGAGUUCUUGUGUUGGAAACCCACUAUAGUGGAAAUCGGUUGCGUUGCGUUUUGAUUUUCGCCUCAUGCCUGUUAAAGGGCGAUGUGGUGAACGUGGAUGCGCCUCUUCUGCUCCAAACAUGCUGUUGCUUCAGCUGUUGUGGUGCAUUAGAAAGGUUGCUCGUGCUUCGGGAUGCGGAAAACCUUAUGUGGCCGGAGGGAUUGAGUCCCUCCAUUGCUCAAAAUGUCGGUGAUGCUCGAACGACGCACGGCGCUCGUCUCUCUUUCCCCGGACAUUGCUAGAACUCUGGCUUGUCGGGGAUCGGAGCGGGUGUUGGGCUCGUGAAGGAAUGC
rnacentral:misc_RNA from 1 species